rnacentral:lncRNA from 1 species
UAUGUUUUAUCGCAGAGGUUGGUAUAAAACCAGCCGAAACCGGUCAAAACUGGUCGAAAAUAGCCAGACCGAGGCAAACUGCUGCCGCGAGCGACAGUACCAUCGCUGGAGCACGGCGAUGCUAUUGUGUUGGAACCCCAAAAUUGGCCGAAAAAGGAUUUUUAACACCAAUUUUUAGUUUUUGAUGUAUUUUUAGGUACGUGAAGCGUGUUUUAAUCUCCGCAGGAAAAUUCAAAAAAAUUCGGGGAUCACCAAUAGGCAUAGUGGAAAGUUCAGUGUUUUGGACACCUAUUCGGGUAAGAAUCA